GUGAUUUUCCUGCCUCAGCCUCCCAAGUAGCUGGGAUUACAGGGUUGUGAAGUAGACAUUAUUCACCGUACGGCUGCGAAUAAGGAAACGGUGCUAUGUCGGGGUGAAGUGACUUACCCAAGGCUCGCAGGCCUGGCUCCUAGACCACCCAACUCCCAUGUUCUAACCAGAGGCUUCCAGUAUCACAGAGACAGAGUCUUGCUCCAACACCCAGGCUGGAGGGCAGUGGUACA